GAGCAGGGUUCAUAGGAGCCCCGAUUUACAGCUGCUUGGAACAUUCAGUUUGAAACGAGCUUUCGAACAUGGUUAGCCACGACCCUUUUCCAGUCUUUGUCACUGGCAGGCACUGCCUCACUCUGGUUCUUCUCCCAGAGUCUCCGUCAGCAGCAGCAGCAAGGACGCUCCGCCGAGACGUCGCCGGAGGAGCUCCGCGACCCUGCCACACGGCUGGGCGCGCAUUCCCAGGCCCUGCAAACUGAAGACAGACAACCUGAUACAGACUUCGAGAGUCCACGGCAGUGGUGUGUGCACAGACACCUUUUCCUGCCUGCGGCUAUGCGGGACCACAAAGGAAGUUGACCAGAACACCCAGAGCUGUCAGCAGAGUCACCCCAACUGCAAAGCAGGAAUUCAUCAGAAUCACACCCACUGCUCCACCAGCUCCGAUGCUCCAAAGCCAGCAUCCUGGAAAAUCUCAUCUGAUUGCCCUCUACACUCAAAAGCGGAAUUUAGAGUUUG